UGCUAUCCAGACCCAAAUCUCUAACAAAUAUACAACAUAGUAGAAAACUGUUCAUUUAUACUUUGGCUUUAUACUCUACCUCACGUGUGACUUCCUUUUCCCUUUUUAUAUUUUAAUUUUUUUUUUCUUCUCUCUUUCACACCACCAAAACACACAGAGCUUCUCCCUCUCCGGCGAAAAUCUCACCGGUUCUCACCCUCUACAAAUCGUCUUCUCCAUCUCAGCUUGAAGCUUCUCCCUUUCUACAAAAUUUCUUCUCCCUCUCUGGACAAAACCCUAACACAAUCGUCCCCUCUCUUCGACGAAAUUAAAUCAGUCUACUACGUUGAACUCGUUCAUUCGAUUCAAGGGCUGUGAUGCUUCACUGCUCUUGGAGGAUCGAAACAGUUCGUAUGAGAAGCAGGCUAUUCCAAAUCAGACAUUGAAAGGUUUUGAUAAAAUUGACUUGAUUAAGGAGGAAGUAGAACAAGCAUGUCCUGGCAUUGUGUUUUAUGCUGACAUUAUUGCUCUUGCAUCAAGAGAUAUUGUUCUUUUGGAACCACAAAAGUGGGCAGUUAAGAAGGUGCCUAUAUUUGGCAUUUUAUAUUCAAAUAGAAGAUAAGCAGAAGCCAUGAAGUAACUUUUUUAUGUUCAUUGAUGUUUAAAGGACAAUGAACUAUGCAAACCUUCCUUUAUUUUCCUUUACAUGGAAUAUUAUCAAAGGCACUAAGGUGAAUAACCCGGCUAGGAAUUGGAUAAGCAGAGAGGGGUUUUACAGGAAAUAAAGGUAUCUGCACAGUCAGACCUGCGGCACCAGGUUUCCCUUGUUGUCCAUCCAAUCAGGAACCUUAAAUGUUUAUUUUGUUUCAUGUGAUAAAUAUUGGGAUAUGGAGAGAGAGUUACAGAGCCAAAGGUAAUUUCAUAGGGUGCCAUUAGUGCUCCUAUGUACUCGAUGAAAGGCUCGUCCAUGAUACAGUCACAUUACCCGACUGCAUUUCCCCUAAAGCAUCAGUAGAAGGCAAGU